CUACGUGCCAGCAGCCGCGGUAAUACGUAUGUCGCAAGCGUUAUCCGGAAUUAUUGGGCAUAAAGGGCAUCUAGGCGGCCAGAUAAGUCUGGGGUGAAAACUUGCGGCUCAACCGCAAGCCUGCCCUGGAAACUAUGUGGCUAGAGUACUGGAGAGGUGGACGGAACUGCACGAGUAGAGGUGAAAUUCGUAGAUAUGUGCAGGAAUGCCGAUGAUGAAGAUAGUUCACUGGACGGUAACUGACGCUGAAGUGCGAAAGCUAGGGGAGCAAACAGGAUUAGAUACCCUGGUAGUCCUAGCUGUAAACGAUGAUUACUGGGUGUGGGCAUGAAGAGUGUCCGUGCCGAAGCUAAUGCGAUAAGUAAUCCGCCUGGGGAGUACGGCCGCAAGGCUGAAACUCAAAGGAAUUGACGGGGACCCGCACAAGCGGUGGAGCAUGUGGUUUAAUUCGACGCAACGCGAGGAACCUUACCAGAUCUUGACAUCC
rnacentral:rRNA from 1 species